GUGGGGAAUUUUGGACAAUGGGCGCAAGCCUGAUCCAGCAAUGCCGCGUGCAGGAAGAAGGCCUUCGGGUUGUAAACUGCUUUUGUACGGAACGAAACGGUCCUGGUUAAUACCUGGGGCUAAUGACGGUACCGUAAGAAUAAGCACCGGCUAACUACGUGCCAGCAGCCGCGGUAAUACGUAGGGUGCGAGCGUUAAUCGGAAUUACUGGGCGUAAAGCGUGCGCAGGCGGUGCUGUAAGACAGGCGUGAAAUCCCCGGGCGCAACCUGGGAAUUGCGCUUGUGACUGCAGUGCUGGAGUACGGCAGAGGGGGAUGGAAUUCCGCGUGUAGCAGUGAAAUGCGUAGAUAUGCGGAGGAACACCGAUGGCGAAGGCAGUCCCCUGGGCCUGUACUGACGCUCAUGCACGAAAGCGUGGGGAGCAAACAGGAUUAGAAACCCUGGUAGUCC
rnacentral:rRNA from 1 species